rnacentral:misc_RNA from 1 species
CCUAGAGUUGCGGGCUUUGCCUGCCAUCUCUUACCCAUGUCUUUUGAGUACCUUCGUUUCCUCGGCGGGUUCGCCCGCCGGUUGGACAACACUUAAACCCUUUGUAAUUGAAAUCAGCGUCUGAAAAACUUUAAUAGUUA